AUGAUCCCAUAUAGACUUACCUUCCCUCCUCAUGCCGCUGGCCAGGCACUUCUGGUACCUGCAGUACUGGCAGCGGUAAUUGGGGGCAAUUUGGGCUCAGAAAGGGGGUUUUUGGGGUCAGAAAUGGGGAUUUUGGGGCAAUUUUGGGGUCUAGAAGCAGAAUUUUGGGGUCUAGAAGCAGGAUUUGGGAUCAGAUAGUGGGAUUUUGGGGUCAGAAAUGGUCUUUUUGGGGUCAUUUAUGUCAAUUUAUGGGGGUUUUUGGGGUCUAGAAGCAGGAUUUUGGGCUCAGAAAUGGGGAUUUUGGGGUCAUUUAUGUUGAUUUAUGGGGGUUUUUGGGCUCAGAAAGGGGCUUUUGGGGUCA
rnacentral:lncRNA from 1 species